UUACUUAGCAUUUCCCACUAUAGUACCUCUUACCCACAGGUCAAGAACUAAUGUGAAAGUUCAUCAAACUACCAAAUAUGUCGUUUUCACUUACUUACUUGGAGACCUAGGAAAUGACUGACCACCAUUUGUGUUCAUGAGUCCUGUCUCCCUGUGACCCAGACCUAGGCCAAUACUCUAUUAUCUGGUCACCAUAUUCCUCAACUCUACUGAUGAGGGGUAUCAUAACAUUGAAGUCCCAGAGUAUCAAUACCAUGCUAGAACCUGUGUCAAUAGUCUCAACAUGUUGGCAUAUUUCUUCUUCUCUGGUGUAUAGUUACCUGAGUAAAUCAUUAUACACUUGCCAUGGUGUUGCAGGUAACUUCUUCCUGGAGACCUGGCCACUUCUUUAGUCAGUAGGUUCAGUAUCUGAAAAACUGGCUGAAGUUUCGAAACCAGGCUUCGUUCAACAGAAAUCAAGAAGGAGCCCAUAAGCUCAGUGCAAGAUCAACCUUCUGACUCCAUGCCUCCUCUACAGCAGGAGUGGAGAGGGAACUCUCAAACUUGGAGUAAGAUCAGACCUCUGCAGGACACCAUUGGCAGGAGACAACCGAAUGCCCAAGCACACAGAAUAAGACUGUCCAUCUACACAGGAUAUGCUUCUGUCAGCAGGAGCCAAAUGGGAGAUUCUGAGUAACACAUGUUCCUGGUCAACCCAUCCUUGAUCCUGUCUUUCUUCAACACUCCUACCCUGUAUCUGUGUUCUUUUUGUGUUUAUAAGAAGUUCAGGACUCCUAGUUCUUUUACUCCAGAAUUCUAAUUCUCCCUAAAUUACCUUAUAGAACUUUUUCUGACCCAUUUUCUUCAUACUUUUUCUGAGUCCUGAAACUUUUUCUUGUACUGUUCGCAACUCAAGAUCACUGGUCAGCAAAAUCCUCUGUGUUUUUAACUUCUACUGUGAAUGUUGCCUUCUCCUUCUGUGCUAAUGGAAAUCUAGCUUUUCCCUAGUUAUAGUUUCUCCUGUAGCUGGUGGCUAAUAGUAAAUAUUAAACAAUGUGCUCUUUGGAAAGAGAAAUAAGCAAAAACCUUGAUUUGUUGUACUUUCCAGUUUUUGUGCUAUAAAUGCAUCAAAGUCAUUCAUUUACCAUCAUAAUUUGGCAAAUGUGGAGUUGGGAAGUGAUGUCCACAGUCAGCAAUUAUAAACUAGUAUGAGCUAGGGUUUCCUGGAUGGGCAGUGGCUAGGUGUCUGACUCUUGGUUUUGGCUGAGGUCAUGAUCUCAGGGUCCUGGGACUGAGCCCCACAAUGGGUACCAUGUUCAACAGGGACUCUGUUUAGAGUCUUUCUGCCCCUUUUCUUCAUGCAUACAUGUUUUCUCUCUCUGUGUGUCUCAAAUAAAUCUUAAAAAAGGAAACAAGGUAGUAUGAGCCAGCUUGGGCUCACCCUGUCUUGUAGCACUUUUAAAGGUAACUGUUUUCUCUCCACUCAACUAUAACAUCGGACCUGGAGUUGAGAUAAAUGUCCUCUGUGCUUCUCAUUUGUGCUUUCAAGUCCUUUCCCCUCCUUUCUUCAUGAACACACUCUACCUUGAAUAUUGUAUCAUCAGAUUAUCCUACGUACUAUAACUUUUUAAUAUAUGCACUUUUUCUCAGGUCACUGUUUUUUGUAAGUUUAAAAUAAUCAUCCCUGUGACAUUGUCACUUUCUUAAAAAAUGAUUCCUGCUAUAGUUUUUUAUAAAGUAUUUUUUUAAUUUUUCAUAAUUUAUAAUUCUUUAUAACUCUGGACUUUCAGUUCCUUGAUAGCCUCUCUUUUAGUGAUUUUGUUUCAUUCUCAGUCAUUCACUUUCUGGUUAUUUUUUAGGCCUUGAUGUUGGCGAUAGCUGCCACAUUUUUAAUUUCUUUUGCUACUUGAACCUCAUCUCCCUGAACCCUGCAUGUUGAGGUGUUCCAGAGCUCAGUUCUAGGGCCUUUUCUGUUUGCCAUCAUCACUCCAUAGGUGAUCUCAUCCAGUCUCAUGGUUUUAAAUUACCUAUAUGUUAACAACUCCUUACUUCACAUCUUCUACUGAGAUCUCUUUCUAAAGUCUGGUUUUGUAUAUCCAACUACAUGCUUGACACAUGCAGUUGGAUAUCAAUUCUCCACUAAAAUUCUGUCUUCUGAUGUUAUCUCUAUCUUAAUUAUUGGAAACUACAUUCCUCUCUAGUUACUUAGCCAGAAAACUGGAGUUAUCCUUGAGUCACUUCUGUCUUAUACACUUCACAUCAGAUAUGAAAAUAAAUUAUUUUGGGUCUAUCUUUGAAAGAUAUCCACACUUCCAUCUUUCCUUGCCACUAACACUAUUAAUGUCUGUUCUUUAGUUUUUGGUUUCAUCAUCUCUAAUUUGGAUUAUCGCAGUAGUGUUUUAACUGGUCUCUUUGCAUUGUCUUUGUUUUCUUCUAGUCUUCUUUAAACACAGAAGCCAGUGAUUUUCUUAAAACAUAGGUCUAUCCAUAACAUUUCUCUGCUUAAAAUUUUCUAGUGGCAUUCUAUCAAGUGAAGUCAUUAUGGCCUCUGAUACUAUACAUGGUAUGGCCUUAUUUUAACUCUCUGACCUCAUUUCCUGCUAUUCUCCCAUUUUUUUACUUAAUUCUGGCCACACUAGCCACCUACCUAUUUGUAGAACACUCUAGACAUGCCCCUACCUCUAGGCUUUUUACUUUGAGGUUUCCUUUGCCCUCAUUCUUCCUUCAGAUAUCCAAAUGACUCAUCCCCUUAUUUCUUUCAAAACUUUAAUAAAAUAUCUCCUGGUAAAGAGACUGUCCAUAAUCAUCCAAUCUAAAUUUUACUAAUCUAAAUGUUAAUGCUACCCCUCAUUCCUUGAUCCUUUCUCAGUCUCUUUCCUGCUUUUUCCCCCUCUCCAUACAUGUCUUACAUAUCUUUCUAUUACAUAUUUGUGUUUUACUUAUUAUUAACCUGUUUAUUGUACCUCUUUUCCUCUAGAAUGUAAGCUCUAUGAAAGCAGAGAUAUUUAUCUGUUUUAUUUACUCUUAUAUCUCCAGUGCCAAAAACAUGACUAGCAAAUAGUAUUUAUAAAUAUAUGUAUUCGAAUGAAUGUAUAUGUGAAAAAAGUUACUUGUUAUAGACAUGACAUGCUGUAGACAUGAAAUUGAUUAAGUAAAAUUUUUUAUUGUUUAUAAUAUCAUCUAUGAAUAAUGAUAAUUGUGAUUUUCCUUUUCCAAACCUGCAAAACAGUAUAUACAUUUAUCUUUGUGCAUAGUCUAGGACCUCUAGAAAGUUGUUGAGUGAAAGUGGUUGGAAUGGGCAUUUUUAUUCUGUUCUUGAUUUUAAAGGGAACAAAUCUGAUAUUUCAACAUGAGCAAAUGAUAUUUACUAUAAGUCUUUGGUAGAUGUUCUUUAUCAGACUAAAUAGGUUAACCUUUGCUUCCAUGUUUGCUGUGUUUGUUUAUUUGUGCUUUAUCAUGAGUUAGUGUUAACUUUGGUAAAAAUAAAUGAAGGGCAAACUUUUUUAUCAUGUUCAAGUGUUAAAAUUUAUUUUAUAAUGAAUGAAUAUUGAAUUUUCUGUUUUGAGAUGAUUUUCUCCAUUAAUAUGUGAUAAGUAAUAUUAUAGAAUUUCUAAUGUUAACAUUCUCUUUCAUUCUUGGUACAAAACUAAACAUUCAUUAUGUGUUAUUGAUUUCUUCAUUGGACCUAAUUCACUGUUUUUUAAAGGAUGCUUGCUUCUAUUUUAUGAAUAAAAUGGCGUUUAUUUUCUCUUUUUA